rnacentral:snoRNA from 1 species
UUACCACAAAACUCUUUCCGAGUGAAGGUUUUUUAAUAACCUUUACCAACUGAGGCUCUUUGGGAGAAUAAAGACCACACUCCACAGUGGACUAUAUUACUAAACAUAUAGUCCAUUACUAUUUUGUGGCCUACAUU